rnacentral:rRNA from 1 species
GACGUAGGGUGCAAGCGUUGUCCGGAAUUAUUGGGCGUAAAGAGCUCGUAGGCGGUCUGUUGCGUCGGCUGUGAAAACCCGGGGCUCAACCCCGGGCCUGCAGCCGAUACGAGCAGACUAGAGUUCGGCAGGGGAGACUGGAAUUCCUGGUGUAGCGGUGAAAUGCGCAGAUAUCAGGAGGAACACCGGUGGCGAAGGCGGGUCUCUGGGCCGAAACUGACGCUGAGGAGCGAAAGCGUGGGGAGCAAACAGG